rnacentral:lncRNA from 1 species
GGCAAGUAUAACCCAUACAUUACCGGCCAGAGGCAGAGAGCAGUGCCUUGUGGAGCCAGGAAGGGCCUACUGAUGGUCACAAAAAUGUCUUUCCGCCUGGCGCCUGUGUGCUACUCUGACGGUGUUGUCUGAAUUAUGGACACAAGGCCCAAGUCUGCUUGAGUUUCCCUUGGAAAUUUUGGUAAUAAAAAGCAGAAAAGGUGUUUCUUGAAAAAAUACAAUAUGAAACACGAAAAGGCAAAUAAGCAAUUAACAUGAAGCGAACCAUUCUUGGCUUCCUUGUGUCUCCCUUUUCCUGCCUUCCUACCUCUAGUGCAACCUUCACGAUUCCUUUGCAAAGGAAUGAAAUCUCUAACAGGGAGAAAGCUGAAGACCCAGUUUGGUUUUGCUGCUGAAAAAUGUACAAAACACUUGGAAAAACCAGUCGAGGUCCAAUUUGUGAGCCCACUACUUGUACCUGCCCACUCUUGAUCUGAGAAAAGUUGCUAACCACGGGGCAAGACAGAGCUUUCACGAAGAUUCCUGCCACCUGCUGGGCGCACGGCUGGAUGUUGUGGCCGUAUAUUGCGCUGUGGUCCCUUCUUCCUCCACAGGAGCUUCUCUUGGGAUGGAACUUUUAGGGUUGCAUUGUGAUAGACCAACAGGAGGAGGAGUUGGAGGAAAUGACAUCUUUACAAAUGUGUCUUUGCAUUUAGGUUCUCAGGCAGAAGGGCUCAGGACAAACACCAGAGAACGUGGCAUGCCAAUUUAAGGAUUUAUUGCAUCUUAUAAUUCCACACUCAUUUGCACAUUCUGGCGAUGUCGUUCAUGGAGGUGAUGAUUACUGUGGGGGUUGGACUACGCACAGCCACUUUCCAAGAGCAAUGCAGAAUGGAGGACUCCCUGGUGAUGACUCCAAGAUUCAUUAAAAAGAAUGGAAAUUUGGUAGUAGGGAGAGAUUUUACCUUGGAGGUGAUGCCUGCAAACAUUUCUAGCCAUUGCAGAGGCACCAGCACCCUGAGCAGCGCUGCCAAGCUCCUUCUGCCAGGACUAAACUCAGCAUCGCACCAACAAGCCACCGUCGCUUUGAACUGUCUGUGUCAGAUAAGGUAAACUAUUAUAUGGCAAUGAAAAGAAAGACAAACCCAUGCUCCGUAAAUGAUGUUCAACUGUUGGGAUUAAUUUCUCAGCCGAACAGCAUCUUCAGCGUCUCUAAUACCAAAUGAUGCAUUACAAAAAACGAAACAGCCUUUCAGCCAUGUUCAUUAAGAAUCUUGUAAUUAAGAAGUUGCAAGAGAACACAGUGUCCCUCUCUCUGAUUACAGCCCAUGUUUAAAUAUGACAUCUAACAGUUAUAUUCUCUUAAUUCCUCAAAAUGAAGAAUAAAGUAAAAUCAAGACAGGUUAUACCUUUGGUGUUCUUUUUAUAAAUCAAGUCUUAUAAGGAAGAAAUUCCUCUAAAGCGUUUCAGAUUUGGCUCAGAUCAAAUAAAAAGGCAAACAUUAC